GCUUCUCGGUCGAGUGGUAAGGACACUUGCCUUUCACUCUGUAGUCCCGGGUUCGAUCCCCGGUUGAGGAGCU